UACGUAGGGUGCAAGCGUUGUCCGGAAUUAUUGGGCGUAAAGAGCUCGUAGGCGGUCUGUCGCGUCUGCUGUGAAAACUCGGGGCUUAACCCCGGGCCUGCAGUGGGUACGGGCAGACUAGAGUGCGGUAGGGGAGACUGGAAUUCCUGGUGUAGCAGUGAAAUGCGUAGAUAUCAGGAGGAAUACCGAUGGCGAAGGCAGGUCUCUGGGCUAUAACUGACGCUGAGACUCGAAAGCGUGGGGAGCAAACAGG
rnacentral:rRNA from 1 species